CGCUGACUGCCACGGGGGCUGUGGAUCAGACUCUGCUUCUCUCUCUGGGCCUGAUCCGCAGCCCCUUCCACAGUCAGUGAC